rnacentral:tRNA from 1 species
AGCUUUAUAGUCAAUUACUAAUAUGAUAUUAGACUGCAAUUCUAAAGUAGGAUAAUUUCCUAAAGCUU